rnacentral:rRNA from 1 species
AUGCUUGAAGAAUUUUGUCAAGACUUUGAAGAAGAGACUAGCCGGCUGGAACCAAACCUUGACCCUGUCAAUUCUCCGGUGAACGACGAAGUUGCCAUGAAUGUUUUCCGACUGGAGUCCCGUGUUGCAGCUGUCGUGGACUAUCUUGCAAGGCUGAAGGUCGCCACAUCUCGCAUCGACUCAACGCUCUGGCCCAGGGAGACACUCCAGAACGACCUCGAGUCGCUGAUGGCUCGCUUGAACACGGUCCCUGAUCGAGUUCAGGAGUGGAAAAAGUCCUCGGCUCGGUGCGGUGCAGAUGUUGCUCUGUGUCUGGCCCGAGUCCACUGCAAAGAUGUGCGAGAAGACAAGCUGGCGGCCCUCCGGGUGGCCAACACCAAGAAACACGACUUCAGGUCCUUUAUGGAAACUUUCAUUGCUGCUGCCACUCGGAUCGCAGAUGGAAUUGAUCUUGAUGAGUUUGUUGCACCUUCCAGCCCUCCACAGGAGGGGUAA